rnacentral:lncRNA from 1 species
GGCCCAGUAGUUUCAGAGGAGAAGAUUUUUGUAAAAGAUUACGAAGAUUUACGAAAAAUGGUUAAAAAUUGACUAUAAAGGGCAAUAACUCCUAAAGGGGUCAACUGACCAUUUCCGUCAUGUUGACUUAUUUGUAAAUCUUACUUUGCUGAACAUUAUUGCUGUUUACAGUUUAUCUCUAUCUAUAAUAAUAUUCAAGAUAAUAACCAAAAACA